UGGACGAAAGUCUGAUGGAGCAACGCCGCGUGAGUGAAGAAGGGUUUCGGCUCGUAAAGCUCUGUUGGUAGUGAAGAAAGAUAGAGGUAGUAACUGGCCUUUAUUUGACGGUAAUUACUUAGAAAGUCACGGCUAACUACGUCGCC
rnacentral:rRNA from 1 species